CCAUGCCCCGUCGCCGCGCGCCGCCCCCCCAGCCGCCUCUUACUGCCGGAUCCGACCCGGCCACCAUCGCCAUGGCGCGACGCCUCCACCUCCCAGCGACCAAUCCCACCUCCCCGCGCGGUGUGUCCACCCCCGCCGACGCGUCCCACCGCCCCAACCCUCCCCUUCCUCGCGUCGGGAUGGGCAACAUCCAACUGGUGCCUGAACCCCAUCCCACCGGCGUGGCUCACUGCAGUCGUAAUGCUUCUGCGCCACGCCGCCGCUGGUCGAUGCCCCGUCUUCUGCGGCUCUCCCUUGCUCCCUGUACAUUUUCGCUCACCGAGAAGUAAUUCCUCCCUUGUCCUCUCAUGGUGACUAUUGCAGAAAAUAAACACAUGGGGACGUGCUGCCCUCAGUCCUCUCUCGACGGAUCCAGCAGUGCAGGUUCUCCGGUGCGCGAAGUAUUGUCGGCGUCAUGCCCAUUGAGAAGAUGCACAUUUUCUCUAGAAAAGGUAUCAGUUCACUUUGCAAAAACUCUACCGCUGUACAAGUCCUCGUCGACCUGCAGCAGUAGCAGGAGACACUAGAUCACCUCCAGCACUGCUGGUCACAUGAAGGUCGUCAAAAAUGCACGAGGGAGGUUUGGACGGACACUGAUCACUAGCCAACUAUGACGCCGCCGAUCACUUGCACGAAGGACACCAGCUGGUUGAGGAUGAAGUACAUGACGUGGACAAUGAGGACGACCAAAACAUGGAAUCCGUACACAUAGCACCAACUGCAAAUUCAAAUUUUCUGUCCAUGAUGAUUUGAUUGCUACUUCUUAAAGAAAGUGUACAUAACAGUUAGAUGUUUGUGCAAGAAAGGAAAAUUUAUUUGAAUUAAUAA